UCUCUGUUAGUAUAUCGGUUAGUACACGCGCUUGUCACUGGUGUCAUUAGAUGACCGCGCGAAAGCGGGGUUCGACUCCCCGACAGAGAG
rnacentral:tRNA from 1 species